rnacentral:rRNA from 1 species
UGGUUAACAGAGGGAAGCAAGACCGCGAGGUGGAGCAAAUCCCUAAAAGCCAUCCCAGUUCGGAUUGCAGGCUGCAACCCGCCUGUAUGAAGUUGGAAUCGCUAGUAAUCGCGGAUCAGCAUGCCGCGGUGAAUACGUUCCCGGGCCUUGUACACACCGCCCGUCACACCAUGAGAGUCGGGAACACCCGAAGUCCGUAGCCUAACCGCAAGGGGGGCGCGGCCGAAGGUGGGUUCGAUAAUUGGGGUGAAGUCGUAACAAGGUAUC